GGGAAGUCUGCGAGCCUGGGAGAUUGCAAGGUCUACCAGAGUCUGCUGUCAGAGUGAAUUCUCCUGGCAGGGAAGAAAACCAGCAACGCCUAAAUGCCUGCUCAUCACAUCUGCCUGCCGGUUGCCGUGGUCCCCACCAGGAUGGUCAUGACCUCGUCCAUUGAAAUGAUCCAUUUGUUGGCCUCAGUAAUCUCCGUUGUUCUCCGCCGUGCUGUCUGCAGUUCGGCUCUGUCUGGAGUGAAAUGUGGGACCCAGGAGGAAACAGAAAUGGGUCUUCUCAGCAACACUCAAGCAACAGAUGACUCUGCCGAGACUCCACCUGGAAGGCUGCGCUCAGCUCGGAGCUCCUAAUUACCAGCCAGGUACAGACAAAUGGGCUGGGUGUUUGGGGAACAGCAGCAAGAGUGAUGGAGGAAGACAACUUGAUUUAUGGAGAGAGAUUAAAAGAGCUGAAUAGGUAGAGCUCAGCAAAAGAUGAUGAGCUGGAACUUGGGGACCAUCUUGUGUCUGAA
rnacentral:lncRNA from 1 species